AACGCAUAUUGCGCUCGCUGGAAAACGCCGGCGAGCAUGCCUCUCUGAGUAUCAUUUACACCCCCUCAACUGAGCGUACUUCGGUGCGCUUUCGGUUGGAAACUGAGUGUCUCAGUCAGCAAUGACUAAGUCGCUUUAAAUUCAGUGUGCUCUGGGUGCAAAGGAUAACGUGCUAGGUUCGCAAGAACUGAAGCGUUAGUCAGACUCUUUCACUAGCUGAUGCGGAUAAGCCACCUUUACGGUAGCAAACAACCCGGCAUCUAUGUUGGUCUAGAGUAAAGCUUUGCUCUCGGUCAGCACUCAAACUCGAUUCUUAUUUUUUUUGAAUCUUGAUCUCAGAUGAAGCAAGAGGACCCGCCGAAUUUAA
rnacentral:misc_RNA from 1 species